AACUUAAAGAGUUCCAAUCGAAUUGUGAGCAGUGUACUAGUUAGUUCCUGAACUUACGCUUUCAGUUGGUCACUCUCACUCACUUCCUUUUUUCUCACAAGCAAUAACUUCUCGUCUUCUCCCAUCAUCUGAUUCAGUCUCUCGCAACCAUCAGCCUUUGGUAAUUGAUAAUUCAACCAUCAGUAAAGAUGGUGAAGUGUCAAGUACCAUGGGUCUACAGCUUAGCUGCAUUGUUAAUCCUAUCUUGUGAAAUUAUAAAGGCGCAAAUUAUCCAAGAUGAGACCAUGAUCAAAUCAGCUGUUUAUCUGUCACCCGAGUUUGUUAUGAAACCUGGUACAGUGAUAAACCGUUUCUAUCACAACAUCGACUUUCCUAGAGGUCAUAUUGGCAUUAAGAGUUUCAAUGCUGAAGUAGUUGAUGAGGAUGGAGUUCCAGUCUCCCUUCAAGACACUUACCUCCACCACUGGCUGGUUGGGAGAUACUAUGUACGUAUAGGUUCUGAGGAUAAAGGGCUUAGCAGGAAUCCAAAUUCUCUUGACAAGUCAGAUUUCAUGUGGGUCAGAAACACAGGAGUGUGCGAAAAUCUUGGACAGUAUUUUGGAUUGGGAUCUGAAACCCGGAAAACAGCCACACACGUGCCAGAUCCUUACGCAAUAGAGGCUGGUAAUGCAGCUGAAAUACCCCCAGGGUAUGAGGAGAGAUGGAUUUUGAAUGUUCAUGCUAUUGAUACUCGAGGUGCGGUAGAUAGGUUGGGUUGUACUGAGUGCAAGUGCAGUCUCUACAAUGUUACUAUAGAUGAAUAUGGCAGACCCUUAAGGCCAGAUUAUGAAGGAGGUUUGCUAUGUUGCUAUGAUCAGACACAAUGUAGAGUGAAGGAAGGUUUUACAAAUUCACCGAGAAAGUUGUACCUGAGAUACACUGUCAAGUGGUUUGAUUGGGUUGAGUCACUUCUCCCUGUUAAAAUUUACAUCUUUGAUAUUACUGAUACUUGGAAGACAUCCAACGGGAAGCAUGACUGCAAGGUAGAGUAUGAAAUCAGUCAAUGUGAUUCAUCUACUGUGUCAGCUAAUGGAUGCAUCGACACCAAGAGGAUGAGCUUCAAUAUGCCAAGAGGUGGAAAUGUUAUUUAUGGAGUUGCCCAUCAGCAUUCAGGAGGAAUAGGUUCAGCACUUUAUAGAAAGGAUGGACGGGUAAUUUGUUCCUCACUACCAUCUUAUGGGAAGGGAACUGAAGCCGGAAAUGAGUCUGGAUAUAUUGUAGGAAUGUCCACCUGUUACCCUGAUCCCGGCUCUAUCAAGAUAUAUGAUGGAGAGACCCUGGUUUUAGAAUCAAAUUACAGCAGUUCUCGAAAACACACUGGAGUCAUGGGCCUUUUCUACAUUUUGGUUGCUGAACAAUUACCAACCCAGAAAUCACUCUCAUUGCUCUAAUUUCUACAGGAUGAAUGAAUGAAAGGAGAGAAGAAAGAACAACCUCAGAGAGAAUUAAUCUUGCAUUCAUGGUUGAUUGAGUUUUAUGACAUGUUUAAUAUUGUCAUCAUGGUAUCAGAGCAAGCUGAUUGAGAACGUGUAUGUCCGUUUCGUGCUUGGACAAGCCACUAUCAGGGUACUCCAGGUGAAGUUGGAUUUCGAUAUAGUUGAACUUCUCUCCAGAAUCUGAUGUAUGAUGUAUGCGUAAUAAAUAUAGUCCUUUUCCUAAACGAUGAUGAACUCUAGAUACUUUUAUUUUGCCUAUAUAUCUAUAAAUACUAGUAGUACAGAGUUUAAAUAUGAUAAAUAAUUUUGCAAUUUUCUGCA